AGACAUGGCAGUUUGAGCAACCCUGAUAACAGAAACCAACCAUGUUGGAAAAAAAAAUGUUUUUGGAUACAGAGCAGGAGGCAUGGGAAACCAAGGAAGGGCCUGCAGUAAACAAGGUGUACGUACACAUAGAAACAGAGAAAGUUCAGCAUAGGAAGAGAGA